rnacentral:rRNA from 1 species
GAUGAACGCUGGCGGCGUGCCUAAUACAUGCAAGUCGAGCGAACGGACGAGAAGCUUGCUUCUCUGAUGUUAGCGGCGGACGGGUGAGUAACACGUGGAUAACCUACCUAUAAGACUGGGAUAACUUCGGGAAACCGGAGCUACUACCGGAUAAUAUUUUGAACCGCAUGGUUCAAAAGUGAAAGACGGUCUUGCUGUCACUUAUAGAUGGAUCCGCGCUGCAUUAGCUAGUUGGUAAGGUAACGGCUUAGCAAGGCAACGAUGCAUAGCCGACCUGAAAGGGAGAUCCGCCACCUGGUAAGAGAGACACGGUCCAGACACUUGCAGGAGGCAGCGGUAGGGAAUCUUCCGCGAUGGGCGAAAGCCUGACGGUGCAACACCGCGGGAGGGAUGAAGGUCUUCGGAUGGGAAAACGCUGUUAUUAGGGAAGAACAAAUGUGUAAGUAACUGUGCACAUCUUGACGGUACCUGAUCAGAAAGCCACGGCUAACUACGUG